rnacentral:rRNA from 2 species
UACGGGGGGGGCUAGCGUUGUUCGGAAUUACUGGGCGUAAAGGGCGCGUAGGCGGUCUGCUAAGUUGGAUGUGAAAACUCUGGGCUUAACCCAGAGCCUGCAUUCAAUACUGACAGGCUAGAGUUCUGGAGGGGAUAGCGGAAUUCCUGGUGUAGCGGUGAAAUGCGUAGAUAUCAGGAGGAACACCGGUGGCGAAGGCGGCUAUCUGGACAGAGUCUGACGCUGAGGCGCGAAAGCUAGGGGAGCAAACAGG